rnacentral:misc_RNA from 1 species
UAUAGAUGCAGAAACCUGGUGUCCUGUCAUGAUGAUAUUAUCUCCAAGAGUUUCCAGGCAAGCAAUGGCAGAGCCUUUCUUUUCUCGCAUGCAAUGAACAUAAUUGUAGGACAUAAAGAGGAUCGGCAGAUGAUUACUGGUCUCCAUACGGUUGCUGAUGUCUACUGUUCUGACUGCGGAGAGUUGCUGGGUUGGAAGUACGAGAGAGCUUACGAGGAAUCGCAGAAGUACAAGGAAGGAAAAUUCGUACUCGAAAAAUUCAAGAUUGU